GCCCCCGUGGCGGAACUGGCAGACGCGCUCGACUUAAGAUCGAGUGCCGUAAGGCGUAGAGGUUCAAAUCCUCUCGGGGGCA
rnacentral:tRNA from 1 species